UUCGACCUAAAGGCUUUGAAUUAACGGUGCAAUUAGAUCUGAAAGCAACAUUUGGGUACAACUCCUUCCUGGUUGUGCCACGGAAUAUUAUGAUCUGCUUUCCAGCAACAUAACUGAAAACAGUUUGUGGGCUCUGUGUGGGGCAGGCAGUCCAAUUCGUCUCCACAACUGGCGGUUCUCGAGCACAGCAGUGAAGACACCCAGUGAGCCCCGUAAAAGGAAGAACCCCACGGCCUCUCUCUGAGGAGCCAGCCUCACAGGCCAUGCCCUGUGGAUAGGGUUCAUUGGAACGCCAGAUGCUCCCUGGGAGGCCACAGCCAUGCCAGGCUCCCCUCCCAUGGAUGUGAGGCUGCCUGCCUUCCAAUUCCACUGCUCACGAGUCAAGCACUGGCAGAGCCAGUCCCAUGGGUGCCCUUCAAACUCAACAGGUCUGAUGCUGAACUCGGCCUCUUCCUGCCCAAGCAUGCUGCUCCUCCCAUGUCCCCCAUCUCUGAGAAUGGCACUGUCAUCGACCCACCUGCCCAGAUUUCCUGCCCUAUGCAGGCUCUGCUCCUCCAGCCAUCCUACAGGCCCAGGACCACACAGCAGGACUGAAGAAUGGAUGGUUGACACUCACCCCUGAUGCAGGAUUGGCUGUCCAGC